GCGGUAAUUCCAGCUCCAAUAGCGUAUAUGUAAAUUGUUGCGGUUGAAAAGCUCGUAGUUGGACUUCUGGCGGCCGCGUUCGGUCCGCCACGCGCGAGCACUGAUCGCGGCUGUCGUUCUGUCGACGGUGCGCGUCGGACUUCAUUGGCUGGCGCGCUCUCUGUCGGCGUCGUUACUUUGAGGAAAUCAGAGUGCUCAAAGCAAGCGUUCGCUCGUGACUUCACUAGCAUGGAAUAACACAGAUGGGCUCUUUCUCGCAACGUUGGUCUGCGUAAAUUGAGCAACGAUCGAUAGAGACGGUCGGGGGCAUUCGUAUUGCGCAGUUAGAGGUGAAAUUCUCCGAUCUGCGCAAGACGCACUAAUGCGAAAGCAGUUGCCAAGGACGUCCUCUUAUGAUCAAGAGCGAAAGUCGGGGGAUCAAAGAUGAUUAGAUACCGUCGUAGUCCCGACCAUAAAUGAUGCCAACUGAGCGUCGGCGACUCGGCUUCUUGCCGGACGUCGGCGCUCGUGAGAGAAAUUAAAGUCUUUGGGCUCCGGGGGUAGUAUGGUCGCAAGUCUGAAANNAAUUUGACUCAACACGGGAAAGCUUACUAGGUUUGGACACUUGCAUGAGGGACAUAUUGAAGCUCUUACCUUAUUUUGUGGAUGGUGGUGCAUGGUCGUUCUCAGCCCGUGGGUUGACCUGUCAGGUUUACUCCGGUAACGCGCGAGACCUCGGUUUGCUAAAUAGGCGCGGCUGUUUCGGCACCCGCUUGCCUUCUUAGAGAGAGACUUGGCGAGAGUCAAGGGAAGUCGAGGCAAUAACAGAUCUGUGAUGCCCUUAGUUAUCCUAGGUCGCACGCGCCAUACAAUGUGGCGCACAACGAGUCUCCUUGGCCGACAGGACAGGGCAAUCUGGCAGAGCGCUACGUGACUGGGCUAGACUUUUGUAAUUGUUGGUCUUGAACGAGGAAUGCCUAGUAAUCGCAGGUCAUCAUCCUGAGAUGAUUCGGUCCCUGCCCUUUGUACACACCGCCCGUCGCUCCAUCCGUGGCAUGCGCCGGUGAAGAGGGGGAGGCAGCGUCGGACGGGUAACACCGGACUGUACGUGGAACCCCUCUGAACCUUCGCACGUAGAGGAAGGAGAAGUCGUAACAAGGUUUUCGUAGGUGAACCUGCGAAAGGAUCAUUA
rnacentral:rRNA from 1 species